GUGAGUAUAGUUCAACGGUUAGAGCACUGGACUGUGGCUCCAGGGGUUGGGGGUUCGAAUCCCCUUACUCACC
rnacentral:tRNA from 1 species